CCUCCUUUUCUCUCUCUACCAACCAAGAGGGGAGAAGAAACCGAGAGGAGAAAAUUAAAAGAAUCUCCACCCUCCAAGAAGUCCAUCUCCAAUCCCCCUAUCUUUCUAGACUUUCUUCUUGAUGGCCCAGCUGGAUCAGGAGUAAUGUAAGGGAAGGAAAACCAAGACCAAAACCAAAAAAGAGAAGGGAUGAAAGAUACGA
rnacentral:lncRNA from 1 species